rnacentral:rRNA from 1 species
AACGCAAGUUGCGCCCGAAGCCAUUAGGCCCAGGGCACGUCUGCCUGGGUGUCACGC